CACGUAGGGUGCGAGCGUUGUCCGGAAUUAUUGGGCGUAAAGAGCUCGUAGGCGGUGUGUCGCGUCGGCCGUGAAAACCUGCAGCUUAACUGUGGGCGUGCGGUCGAUACGGGCAUCACUGGAGUUCGGCAGGGGAGACUGGAAUUCCUGGUGUAGCGGUGAAAUGCGCAGAUAUCAGGAGGAACACCGGUGGCGAAGGCGGGUCUCUGGGCCGAUACUGACGCUGGAGGCACGAAAGCGUGGGGAGCAAACAGG
rnacentral:rRNA from 1 species